rnacentral:rRNA from 1 species
UCAGCCGCCGCGGUAAUACCAGCAGCCCAAGUGGUGGUCGCGUUUAUUGGGCCUAAAGCGCUCGUAGCCUGGCCGGUAAGUUCCCCGUGAAAUCGGGUCGCCCAACGAUUCGGCUUGCGGGGAAUACUGUCGGUCUUGGGGCCGGGAGACGCCGAGGGUACUCCGGGGGUAGCGGUGAAAUGCUGUAAUCCUCGGGGGACUACCAGUGGCGAAGGCGCUCGGCGAUAACGGGCCUGACGGUGAGGGGCGAAAGCUGGGGGCGCGAACGGGAUUAGAUACCCCGGUAGUCCCAGCCGUAAAGGAUGCGGGCAAGGUGCUCGUCGCUCUUCGAGGGCGUCGGGUGCCGUAGAGAAGUCGUUAAGCCCGCCGCCUGGGAAGUACGGUCGCAAGGCUGAAACUUAAAGGAAUUGGCGGGGGAGCACA